rnacentral:rRNA from 1 species
UACGUAGGGUGCAAGCGUUGUCCGGAAUUAUUGGGCGUAAAGAGCUCGUAGGCGGCCUGUCGCGUCGGGAGUGAAAGCCCACUGCUUAACGGUGGGUCUGCUUCCGGUACGGGCGGGCUGGAGUGUGGCAGGGGAGACUGGAAUUCCUGGUGUAGCGGUGGAAUGCGCAGAUAUCAGGAGGAACACCAAUAGCGAAGGCAGCUCGCUGGGACGGUACUGACGCUAAGGCGCGAAAGCGUGGGGAGCGAACAGG